rnacentral:rRNA from 1 species
AUUGAACGCUGGCGGCAUGCCUUACACAUGCAAGUCGAACGGCAGCACGGGUGCUUGCACCUGGUGGCGAGUGGCGAACGGGUGAGUAAUACAUCGGAACAUGUCCUGUCGUGGGGGAUAGCCCGGCGAAAGCCGGAUUAAUACCGCAUACGAUCUACGGAUGAAAGCGGGGGACCUUCGGGCCUCGCGCUAUAGGGUUGGCCGAUGGCUGAUUAGCUAGUUGGUGGGGUAAAGGCCUACCAAGGCGACGAUCAGUAGCUGGUCUGAGAGGACGACCAGCCACACUGGGACUGAGACACGGCCCAGACUCCUACGGGAGGCAGCAGUGGGGAAUUUUGGACAAUGGGCGAAAGCCUGAUCCAGCAAUGCCGCGUGUGUGAAGAAGGCCUUCGGGUUGUAAAGCACUUUUGUCCGGAAAGAAAUCCUUGGCUCUAAUACAGUCGGGGGAUGACGGUACCGGAAGAAUAAGCACCGGCUAACUACGUG